GGCUCGGUAGCUUAGUGGUAGAGCAGGGGACUCAUAAUCCCAAGGUCACAGGUUCAAUCCCCGUUCGAGCCA
rfam:Micromonas pusilla CCMP1545 chloroplast, partial genome.